CCUCACAAAACUUUAAAAGCCUAGACAGAAGAAGAGAGAAAUUUAUCAAUGAUAGCAUCAGUUUUUAGGUUCUGUAUUUCUCUGUAAAUGCCAAUUUUACAAUAUUUCCUUCAUUUUACCUAAAGAGUCAGGCCUAAGCUUCAAACUAU